rnacentral:rRNA from 1 species
AUUGAACGCUGGCGGCAUGCCUUACACAUGCAAGUCGAACGGCAGCGGACCUUCGGGUGCCGGCGAGUGGCGAACGGGUGAGUAAUGUAUCGGAACGUACCAUAGAGUGGGGGAUAACGUAGCGAAAGUUACGCUAAUACCGCAUAUUCCCUGAGGGGGAAAGCAGGGGAUCGCAAGACCUUGUGCUCUUUGAGCGGCCGAUAUCAGAUUAGCUAGUUGGUGAGGUAAAGGCUCACCAAGGCGACGAUCUGUAGCGGGUCUGAGAGGAUGAUCCGCCACACUGGAACUGAGACACGGUCCAGACUCCUACGGGAGGCAGCAGUGGGGAAUUUUGGACAAUGGGCGCAAGCCUGAUCCAGCCAUGCCGCGUGAGUGAAGAAGGCCU